CUGCACUGAUGACCUUCUUAGGACACCUUUGGAUGAAUCAUGAAACUAAUCUUUCAGUCUGAGCAGC
ensembl:snoRNA SNORD58 Small nucleolar RNA SNORD58